AACUGGAGGCAGGACAGGACAAUUUUGUCUUCUGAGUACGUUAAUGUGAAGGUGCUGGAUACCAGAAGCAUAAUUCCUUUCUCACUAAGAAAGAGUGACUGGUCCAGGGAACACCCCACCUCCCGCUUGUACUUUGUGCCCUGAAUGGAAGGAAGCAAAAAUCCUUGUGGAGAAAAAAGAAUUCUGACGAAGCCAAGUUCAUUCACCGUAAGUUCCAAAAAAGGAUCUACACAAUGGUCCCACGCACUUUUCAUCCAGUUUAGCCCAAUGGGAACUUC